AGGUUCCUGCCUGGUGUGACCGUCUCACCCGGCCUCUUCACAUCGCGCUCUGGGUAUUGGAGUCUACGGAUCCCACACAAGAAAAUGCCGAGACUCUGGCUACUGCUGUUGCAAGGCCCUUGAUGGUGGACAGACCCCAGCACGGCCCUGGACAGAUUGUGAGGCACAGAGAAGUCACCUGCCACCUCCCCACCGUCAGAACAAUGAUGGCAGACACCACCAGGUCCUGAGGCUCUCCUGGCCUUUGGGCACUGUUCCUGCUGCCUUACAGACAUGAUCUCAUUGAACACUCAUGAACACUCACAACAUCAUAAGCCUCACUCGGGCAUCUAUGCUAGACACUGAGGGGACAGCAGAGAGCCAAGAAGACAAAAACCUUGGCUGUCAGAGAAAGAGGUUGCGUUCUAGUGGGGGAAAUAGACAAAAUAAGGAACACACAUGGUACAGUUGUGUGUCACUUAACAGUGGGGAUAUGUUAUGAGAAAUGUGAAGGCAAUUUCAUCAUCGUGUGAACAUCAUAAUGUUAUAGGAGUUAAUAAGAAAUUAUUUUAGGCAGAUAGGGAAAGCGGUCCUUGGAAAGUUUUUGUUUCUUUUAAAGCAGCUAAAGAAAAGUUUCUUAUCUAGCAGGAAAGCUCCGGCUCUUAGAGCUAGGCCGGCAACCUCUGAUAUGCAAAUAAAUGCUGGCCAUUAGAAAAUGGGUCCACCCAAACAUGGCGAUUCUCACCCUCUUCCUUGCCCUCACAUGUGCCUGGCAACAUGGCGGCACCCCCAUAUCCCCAUGUGUGUAGAAUAUCAUGGCGCCCUGCAUUUGCAAAAAAAAAAAAAAAGUGUAUAUAUAACUUCUGUUAAUCAAAAGUCGCAACUAAGAAAAUAAAAAUGCAAGCCACAAA